AAAAUAUAACGUCAAUACAUUAACAAAAUUUAUCGUCAUCAGACAUUAAAGUACGAUCUGCUAACCAUUAACUUCCACAAGGAACCUGCCUCGGAUCCCAAUAACUACAACAUACCAUAAAAUGCUGGUGUGUUUAGCUUCAAGAGAAGAAUCCUCUAAAGCUUGUAAAGAAAAGAAAAUGUGAUGAUGAAAGUAGCAAGGUUCAAA
rnacentral:misc_RNA from 1 species